rnacentral:rRNA from 1 species
AUUGAACGCUGGCGGCAGGCCUAACACAUGCAAGUCGAACGAGUGGCGGACGGGUGAGUAAUGUCUGGGACACUGCCUGAUGGAGGGGGAUAACUACUGGAAACGGUAGCUAAUACCGCAUACCAUCAGAUGUGCCCCGAUGGGAUUGGAUUGUUGGUGGGGUAACGGCUCACCACGGCGACGAUCCCUAGCUGGUCGUAGUGGAUGACCAGCCACACUGGAACUGCGCCACGGUCCAGACUCCUACGGGAGGCAGCAGUGGGGAAUAUUGCACAAUGGGCGCAAGCCUGAUGCAGCCAUGCCGCGUGUAUGAAGAAGGCCUUCGGGUUGUAAAGUACUUUCAGCGAGGAGGCGUUACUCGCAGAAGAAGCACCGGCUAACUCCGUGCCAGCAGCCGCGGUAAUAC